UUUCAAUAAGACUCAAUAUCAACCCUAUAACAGGGGUUGAGAGGUCGAAAGGAAAAUUCUUGACAUCUGAGCAACUCUUUCAAAGUAUAUAAUCAUAACAAAAACCAUAAAGCAGAAAGAAAAGGUUCUUCUUAGUGGAAAUCAGCAUCUUAGAUUUCCUGCCAUAAUAUGAUCAAAUUUCAAUAAGACUCAAUAUCAACUCUAAUAACAGGGGUUGAGAGGUGGAAAGGAAAAUUCUUGACAUCUGAGCAACUUUUCAAAGUACAUAAUCAUAACAAAAAGCCAUAAAGCAGAAAGAAAAGGUCGAGGGAGAUCAGCAUCUUAGAUUUCCUGCCAUAACAUGAUCAAAUUUCAAUAAGACUCGAUAUCAACUCUAUAACAGGGGUUGAGAGGUGGAAAGGAGAAUUCUUGACAUCUGAGCAAANNNNNNNNNNNNNNNNNNNNUCAAUGUACUACAUAAUCUUAAUUAAAAGCCACCAAGCAGAAAGAAAAGGUUAUUCUUAGUGGAGGUCAGCAUCUUAGAAUUUCCUACCAUAAUUUGAUCAAAUUUCAAUAAGACUCAAUAUCAACUCUAUAACAGGGGUUGAGAGGUGGAAAGGAAAAUUAUUGACAUCUGAGAAAUUCUUUCAAUGUACACAAUCAUAAUAAAAGGCCACAAAGCAGAAAGAAAAG
rnacentral:lncRNA from 1 species